rnacentral:lncRNA from 1 species
CCUUCUCUCAUAGAUAAUAUCACAAAUCCUAGUUUCCUAUACGAUUCCAUAGUCAUGGUAAUAUAUUAAGUCAUGUGAUUCUGCCAUUGUUGAAACAGCAAACAACGAGUCCUUAUGCUCAUUGAUAAACAUGGUAUUUAGUUAAUCCCAACAGACACCAAGUUGAAAAUCUGUUUUAUCACAAAAGCAACUACUGUUUGCUUAGAAAAUU